UACGUAGGGUGCAAGCGUUGUCCGGAAUUAUUGGGCGUAAAGAGCUCGUAGGCGGUUUGUUGCGUCGGCUGUGAAAUCCCGAGGCUCAACCUCGGGUCUGCAGUCGAUACGAGCAAACUAGAGUGUUGCAGGGGAGACUGGAAUUCCUGGUGUAGCGGUGAAAUGCGCAGAUAUCAGGAGGAACACCGGUGGCGAAGGCGGGUCUCUGGACCGAUACUGACGCUGAGGAGCGAAAGCGUGGGGAGCGAACAGG
rnacentral:rRNA from 1 species